AUUGGACCACACUCCCUCAGACAGUGAUAUCAGUCUGCUUUGGUGUAUACAUCUUAAACAUGUUUCUGAAUCCCUACUAGCCAUGAGAGAGAUGCAGUAUGAACAAUAAUGGGCAUAGUGAAUUGUUUUUAAGAACAUGUCUCGAUAGGAGACCAUUGUUAGUAAUUGGCCUUGUGUGUAAUGUGCAACGAGGAUAGCUGUUGGACCGACAUCAGAAAAAAGGUGCUCUCCAUUUACCCAAUCCUGUUCGUAUCAAGUUCCAAUUUGGAACAUAUCUUUUUAAGGGUAUUGUCACGCCAAGGGUGCAUAAUUCAUUAAUACACAAUAGAAUAUUGCCAUUUAAUGUCAUUUAUGUAGUGCAGAUAUGAAUUGACCACUCGAUUGCAAGAUCAGAUGACAGAAGGGGUAGUGUGAAUUGCAUAGGAAUGUUAAAGGAGGCAGAUGGUUUGCAUAUGGUUGAUCCCUUGAUUAAUCAAAGGCUCUGUAAGAUGUGAGAAGUCACACAUAAGUUGCCUGCAAGUCUGUCUCCAAUGUAAACUAGCUGACUUCAGCCAUAUGGCCUCUACCUUUUAAUUGAUGAUUGGAUUUCUUUGAUAUGUUAAUGAUCAUUAGCUUUCAAGAAAAGAGAAAAAACAAGUUUUGUGUUCCAGUGUCGUAUCCAAAAGAAAGAAACAUUAAUAUUUACCCAUAGAAUAAUAAUUAAGCCUCAUUUUUGUUAUAUUUGGAAUGUGACAAGCGCCAUCUUCUAAACAAACCCAAACUUGAUUGGCAUAACUUAACCAUAGGGGAAGGGAUUGUGAUGUCCGCUGUAUUGGGUCACAAGUAAGAAGUGUGACUUAUCUAUGGAAUGGAGAAAUGGUAACAAAUUCAGAGAGGCAAUUAUUAUUUCUGUGGCAAGUACAAAAGAGGAGAUGGAAGAAAACAUUUCUAUUUGGAUUGAUGUGGGUCUGGAACACAAGGGGGUGGUCACUUAUAGUUACUAUAGGUAUGCCUUAUCUCCACCUCUGGGUGGGGCUUGGUAAUCGACAGGGUAUAUGUCUAAUGAUUCUGAAAUGUGUCUUUGUACUUGCUUAAGGGGCCAGAAUCUAAUUCUAAGUGAGCCACCAUCUUUCUUACCAGAGACCCCCUGGGGUACAAGUUUUCAAAAUAAAACUUGAGUAAGUGACUAGGACUUCUGUUUUAUCCCUUUUGUUUUUAUCUGUUGGUGGUGCAGCUAAUUUGAUUGUCAUCUAUAUUAUUGUAUGCACUGUGACUAUAUUUUUUGCUCAUAAUAUUCCUUUAUUAAGAUCUGCCUUUGUCUGGUUAAGGAUCACGUUACCUGAAGAGACUACCGUGUAUAUACUCGAGUAUAAGCCGACCCGAAUAUUUUACCACAAAAAACUGGGAAAACUUAUUGACUCGAGUAUAAGGCUAGGGUGAGAAAUGCAGCAGCUACAAAUUUUCAAAAUUUGCGGUUGAGCACAAACAGCAAAAAGUGCAAAAGGUGCUUGUGUCCUUAAGUGUAUAUCCAGCUUCUGAAG